UCAGGAGGGCUUCCUCUAGGAGUAUCUCAAGACAUAAGUCAUUAAGGAUUAGGAAGAGUUAGGUAGGCUAGAAUGGAAAGCUGAGCCCAGACCAGGCAAAGCUCUGGAAGCUAAACUAACUGAGAUAUUUCAUCUCUAUCCUGAGAGGUAUAGGAAGCCAUUAAUGAACUUUAAGCAAAGGAGGAAUGUGUUCAGAUUUGUGUUUUGGAAAGAUAACCUGGCAGCCAUGUGGAUGGUGGGGCAAAGGGCAUCAGGCAGGGGAAACAGAACCAGCUGGGAAGUUACAGUAAUGAUCCCAUGAAGAGUGAUGAGGGCCAUAAGUAAUUGGGAUUAGAUAUCUGGAAGUCAGGAAAGUUUCACCCUCCACCUAAUGGGCUUCUUUCUGUUUAUAUACUCCCUAUUCAAUGGUGGUUUUCUCUGAGUAAUCUCUUCUAUUUUCUUCUGAUUUGAAAAUCUCCCUAGUGACCUGUCAUGAAGAGCUGAUGGCUGGAAUAUGCCAGCAGGCUGAGGGAGCCAUGGGAAUGAACACAUACUAGCUGUGGCCUUGAAUAAUUUAUUGUCCAAGAAAAUUGAGCAGUUUUGCAGGUUUUUUGUUUGUUUGUUUGGGAAACUGCAAGGACAUGGUAUGUGAGGGCAAACCCUCAUCCUAUUUUUAUCCCCUACCCAUGAAUUCAUUGCCGGGAGCUGGCAUGAAAGAACCUUUGCAAUUGAGACUUCAAACUAUGCUGCUGUGCUCCUAAGAAGGCUUAAAGAGUUACUGCUAAGGACAAAAAGGGAGCAAGAAUGACAGAUAGAAGUCCAGAGUCCCCCUACUAAUGACCCACUGACAGCACCUACUGUUUUGGGGCUCCAAAGACAAAGGGUUCUCAUAUGUUCUUUUAACUAUUGUUCUGUUUUCUUCUUAUUUUAUAGAUGAGGACACUGAGGCACACAGCCAGCUGAUGACUAAGCCAGUUAUUCAAAGCCCAGGAUUCAAAUCCCUUGCUUUUUCCAUUGCAUCAUCUGCUCUCUUUGCCUUUUCUUUCAAAGACCAAACUGAAAAAGAGAGUUGAUAUGACUUGCCCAGGUUUGCUUAGUAUUAAAGGCAUCAAUAUGACAAGGGCAUCAACUAGUUCCUGUGAAUACUCUUUCCUGAACGGAACCCCUAAUCUUCCUGAAAGAAACUGCAGGAACACCUGGUACUUUUAAAUUAUGCUGAGGCUGUGGCCAGACUGCUGAAAAAGUGGAGGCAGUUACAGCAAAAACCAUUGUUUAUUUCUCC
rnacentral:lncRNA from 1 species